rnacentral:rRNA from 1 species
GACGAACGCUGGCGGCGUGCUUAACACAUGCAAGUCGAACGAAGUGGCGAACGGGUGAGUAAGGGGUAAUCAACCUGCCCUUCAGAGGGGGACAACAGUUGGAAACGACUGCUAAUAACGCAUACUGAAGGUGGGGAUUGCGUCUGUUUAGCUAGUUGGAGGGGUAACGGCCCACUAGGGCGAUGAUCAGUAGCCGGUCUGAGAGGAGGAAGGGCAACAGUGGGACUGAGAUACUGUCCAGACACCUAGGGGCGGCCGCAGGGGGGAAUCUUCCGCGAUGGACGGAAGUCUGAAGGAGCAACGCCGCGUGGGUGAUGACGGGCUUCGGGUUGGAAAGCUUUGUUAGUCGGGACGCGGUACCGGAGUAGAAAGCACCGGCUAACUACGUGCCAGCAGCCGCGGUAAUAC